rnacentral:pre_miRNA from 1 species
CAGGACCAGCACAGACUGGCGCACCCCAGGGAUCUCUGGGUGAGUAUCUCUUUGAGUGCCUCACUCUCAAGGAGAUCUCUGUGCCUUCC